UGGGGAAUAUUGCGCAAUGGACGAAAGUCUGACGCAGCGACGCCGCGUGUGGGAUGACGGUCUUCGGAUUGUAAACCACUGUCGGGAGGGACGAAUACGCCGCAAGGCGGGUGACGGUACCUCCAAAGGAAGCACCGGCUAACUCCGUGCCAGCAGCCGCGGUAAUACGGAGGGUGCGAGCGUUGUCCGGAAUCACUGGGCGUAAAGGGCGCGUAGGCGGCCUGAUAAGUAGGGGGUGAAAUCUUGCGGCUUAACUGCAAGGCUGCCUUCUAAACUGUCGGGCUCGAGCACAGUAGAGGCAGGUGGAAUUCCCGGUGUAGCGGUGGAAUGCGUAGAGAUCGGGAAGAACAUCAGUGGCGAAGGCGGCCUGCUGGGCUGUUGCUGACGCUGAGGCGCGACAGCGUGGGGAGCAAACAGG
rnacentral:rRNA from 1 species